rnacentral:rRNA from 1 species
AGAUUGAACGCUGGCGGCAGGCUUAACACAUGCAAGUCGAGCGGGGAAAUGUAGCUUGCUACAUUACCUAGCGGCGGACGGGUGAGUAAUGCUUAGGAAUCUGCCUAUUAGUGGGGGACAACAUUUCGAAAGGAAUGCUAAUACCGCAUACGCCCUACGGGGGAAAGCAGGGGAUCUUCGGACCUUGCGCUAAUAGAUGAGCCUAAGUCGGAUUAGCUAGUUGGUGGGGUAAAGGCCUACCAAGGCGACGAUCUGUAGCGGGUCUGAGAGGAUGAUCCGCCACACUGGGACUGAGACACGGCCCAGACUCCUACGGGAGGCAGCAGUGGGAAUAUUGGACAAGUGGGGGAACCCUGAUCCAGCCAUGCCGCGUGUGUGAAGAAGGUCCUUUUGGUGUAAGCUACGUUUAAGCGAGGAGGAGCUACCGUAGAUUAAGUACUGUGGAUAGGUGGAACGUUACUCG